AUUGAACGCUGGCGGCAUGCCUUACACAUGCAAGUCGAACGGUAACAGGUUAAGCUGACGAGUGGCGAACGGGUGAGUAAUGUAUCGGAACGUGCCCAGUUGUGGGGGAUAACUGCUCGAAAGAGCAGCUAAUACCGCAUACGACCUGAGGGUGAAAGCGGGGGAUCGCAAGACCUCGCGCAAUUGGAGCGGCCGAUAUCAGAUUAGGUAGUUGGUGGGGUAAAGGCUCACCAAGCCGACGAUCUGUAGCUGGUCUGAGAGGACGACCAGCCACACUGGGACUGAGACACGGCCCAGACUCCUACGGGAGGCAGCAGUGGGGAAUUUUGGACAAUGGGCGCAAGCCUGAUCCAGCCAUGCCGCGUGCUGGAAGAAGGCCUUCGGGUUGUAAACCGCUUUUGUCAGGGAAGAAACGCUCUGGGUUAAUACCCUGGGGUAAUGACGGUACCUGAAGAAUAAGCACCGGCUAACUACGUGCCAGCAGCCGCCGUAA
rnacentral:rRNA from 1 species